AGAUGCUCAUAAUUUUGUUGACACGAUAAUCUCUCUCUCUCUCUCUAAUUGAAAAGAGCUCAGCAGCCUCAGCUUCAAAACCCAAAAUCACGGUCACAGCAAUGUCAUCACUUAAAUUGUAAGGCUGAGACAAGUCGUCUGUGCUGGAAAAGCAACAGCCAGCCUGAGAUGGUGGACUACACACUACCAAUUUUCCUCAUAUUUUGACGAACCGACCUGUUCAAACCGGAUCCCUUCAAGCUCAUUGGCCGUCUGCGUGGGCCUAGAACGCCGUCGGUUCGUUUUCCCGACUCGGUUCUAAAACUUGUCAAUUUUCGUUGACAUCCUACGGAAGGCGUCGGAGGAAUUCGGGUUCUCGACAACAUGUGUUGCCAAUUUUCUGAGAAACCUUGAAAGUACUUGAAAGUGAUGAAGAAAAAUUUGGUGUGCUGGGUUUGGGGAAGUUGUUAAAGCUCUUUCCUGAAGUGGUUAGUGAAUCUUUUGACCAUUUUUCUUGUAAAAAUUCUUCUUACCACGACUUCACUCCAUUGCUGCAGAAGAUUAAGGAAGGCUAAGGUAAUAUGAACUUUAAGGGAUUUCGUAUAUGAUAUAGGACUAAUAAUGUUGGUUUAUUUCCUCUUGUAACCAUCCUUGGGACGAGAGAGUAGGAUUAGGUUUCUGGUUACUCAAUGAGAUGUUCGAUUUUUCACUUAUUUUAGGGUUUCUUUUUUGGGUGAUUUUAAUUUAGAUUGUGAUGAUGAAGAAAAUAUUAUGAGAUUAAUGGAAGUUCUGGCUGAGAUUGUUAUGAAAUUUUAAACUCUGAAACAUUUUUAGGUUCAUUGCUGUAUUAUUUACAUGUUUAGACGUUUUAAUAUAUUUUUUUUCUGCCCCUAAUUUAGACGUUCUUUGGUUACCAAUGUUCAUUGUUCUUCUACUAGUAUUCUAAUCAUUUUUACUGCAUUUCUUUUAAUUCUUCUAAUUUUUAAGGUACGUUGUAGAAGUAUCAGAAAUUGAGGCGUAGAGCUGCCACUGUGAUUAGGACAAACGAAGCAUAGUGGAGCAGGACUCCGCAAGGGGAGCUAAAAUUGGACUCUUAGCAUGGUAAGGACAUUUAGCCUCAAGCUUACAAAAAAAGGUUAAGGUCCCCUACAUUGGCCAUGGGUGGCCCAAAAGGCUAAUAAAGAGGUCAAGGACAUUGGGCCCGGGCUAUAUCAUCCAUUCCAUGGACAUAAGUUGGACGCGAUGCAUGAGCAUGAGCAGUCAGUGACUCAUGGCCAUCCAUGUCGGAUGUAGGAGUUAAAUGGCAUCAUCAGGUAUUAUUCUUACAUCGUCAUGAAAGAUAAUGCGAUAGCAAUAGCUAUCAUACUUGUAGUUUAAAUGGACAUGUUAGUGUUUUAUGAAUAAGUAAAAUAUAUGCUGUGAUCUUAUUAUUUGUGUGUGUGUAUGUGUUUUAGUCGUUUUUUAGUCACAACUCAUUGCAUUGAAAAAUCAGGGCACACAAAUGGUGCCAAAAAUGAGGAAUGCAAUCAAUCCAACUGUGGAUAGCUGGAGAAGAAGUAGCAUAACUAGCUAGAUUGUGGACCUCUUUAUUCCAUUAUGAGGAAUGAAGCCACACGAACCACAUUCAACAACUUAAACAAGUGCUACAAUAAUUAAGCAAACUAGAGCAUUAAAGGACAAACUUUUACCAGAGACAAACCCACGUAGGACCCAAUAACCGCUUCAUUCCAUGGACUCACAUUUCUUCUCAAAGUGCCGAAUGAGCUUAUCAACCCUAAUUCAGAAUCCGAGCUCUCCUAGUCCCUUAGGUUUACAUAGCGUAUCCCAUUUCACAUUUGCCAUUUUCCUCCACCCUUAUUCAGAAUCCCACCAUAAUAGUUGAAAAAUAACUUAUUGCAAAGAGACUCAGGCAUUUUAGAUAUAAACAGUAUAUACGUUGGGAUAGAUUGCAAAAUCGCCUUAACCAAGACCUCUUGAUCCUGUGGAGAAUAAACACUGUUUUAAGCCUUGCACCCUCAUAUGUACCCUUCCUUUCAAUUGCUCAAAGUUACCCUUUUAUUCUUCCCAACAAUGAAAUCCAUUCUUAAGCAUCUUUCAUGAGGCCUAGCUUCUCCAAAUUAACCACUUGACAUGAUGUCCUCUCGUAUAUUGAAAGUUUAUUCAGGGCAGCUUGACAAUCCGAGGUUCUAGCAUGAGAAAGUACAAUGGAGUGAUGCGUGAAAAACAUGUAACUGGCUGCCCUUGAGCACUCUACUUCCACAAUCUCACCCUCAACCUCUACCUUAUAAAAGAGAGGGACUCUGUACACAGGAUGAAGAGAUAUGGGAAUAAUAGACAGCCCUUCCGAAGCCCCUGCCGUGGAUGACUCUCUUCCUAGGAGCCUCAUUGAAAUUGAACUUAAAUUUGGCCAUUGAGAUCAUGUAAUCACCAAAUUCACCCAGCCACUAGGAAAUUCUAUUUUCUCCAUAACACAGCCUACAAACACACACUUCACUCGGUCAUAAACUUUACUCAUGUCGAGCUUAAGCAGCUUGAAGGCUUACUUCCAUUACUCUUCUUACCAAUGAAUGUACCAAAUCCUGAGCAACAAUGACGUUGUCUGUAAUACGUCGGCCAGGGACAAAUGUACAUUGUUUAAUAGAUAUAAAGUUGGGUAGAAGUUUAUUGAGCCCGUGUUAAAUUAUUCUUGUGAUAUUUGUAUACCACAGUGCACAAACUGAUGAGCCUGCAGUCGCAGAUAAGUACAAGAUGCUUUAUUUUGAAAUUAAAAAAAGGGUAGUAUCAUUUGUAUGUCUGGCUGAUUUGCCAUUACGAGAACUUUAAGACAAGCCGAACAGACCAUCAUACCUACAACAGACCAGUGUUUUGGGAAAAAUAGAACAUGAACCCUGUCCAUACUUGGUGCUUUAGUUUGGUCCCAUAUGCUUCAAUUUUGCCUGAAGAGAAAGGGACAUCAAUCCAAGCCUUGUGCUAUGGAUACAACGUAGCAGAAAUACCCCACUCUCCAGCAUCCAAUUCUUCCACAAUAAGCCCCGUAAUGGAGAGUAGAGAUGUUUAACAAGUUUCAAGAAAUGGGACUACAUGUUUCUCACUCUCAAACCAAACCCCAGCCUCGUUCUGGAUUCUAGAUAAAUCAUUCUUUAUCAUAACUUAUUACACUAUAUUAAAGUUACAACCUAACUAUUUAACUGAUUGUGAUGCGGUGAAGGUUGACAGUAUUUACUUGUAAUUUAAAGAAUGACAUCAUAUCCUCCCUGUGUAGGCAUGUAAGAAUUUAGUGUUAGGAUCCCACAUUUUGAGCCAUUCAGCUCGUGACUGUUGUCUUCAGUACAUAUCAUCCCGCUUAGGCAAGACAUCAAUGUCAUGUUCCAACCCUUUUAUAGCAGCCAUGAUUGCCUACAGAUAGGAGAGCAUAUGGGUCGGCCAGAUGUUGCUCUUUCUCUUGUAGCUGUCCCAUACAUUUACCAAAAACUUGAACAUUCUCUGACUGCCUAACUCUGAUUGAAACUGAAUGAGCCCAUGGGAGAUGUAUAGAAGUUUUCAUGCAAUGGGACUAUAUUUUCCCGACCCUCACAGCAGUCUCAUUCUGGGAUUCUAGAUAAAUCAUUCUUCAUCAUCCUGGUAGAUUCCUUCGCAUGAAUGAAUUUAGUGUUCUGGUCUCGCUGUUUAAUCCAUUCAGCUCGUGACAGUUGUGUCCAACACAUUUCCUUUCGCUCAGACAAGACUUCAAUGUUGUGUUCCAACCUUUUAUAGCAGCCAUGGAUUGCCCUUACAGAGGAUAAGCAUAUAGGUCAGCAAGAAGCUAUUUUUCCUCUGCAAGUCUCUCACCCGUUUCAAAACUUGAACAUUCUCCAACUGCUCAAGACUGACAUUAAACAAGCUCAUGGGAGAGAUGUAUAGAAGUUUUCAAGGACUGGGACUACACGUUCCUCACCAGGCUCAUAUGGGAUUCUGAACAAGUCAUCCUUUGUCCUCAAAGAUGAGAGACUCAAUAGUAGAAUGAGUCUCUCAUAUAGAAGUUCACCAUUUGCUUUGCAACUAGCUUCACAAGCAGAAGAAGAAUAGGACAAUGAUCAGCUAUUGAGAACUCCAAAUGUGUAAUCAGGGAAUCAAGAUUAUUCCACAUGUAUUAACAGUAUUCCAGCAAUCUUUCGUAUUGAAAGAAAACAUCAAAGUAAGAUUGUAAAUCGUCAAGGAUCACUUUAAUACAUGGC
rnacentral:lncRNA from 1 species